UCUGAAUCUGCGAACGGCUCCGCAAACCAGUUGUAAACUAGAGCAAGCAAGUCUGGCGGGCUUCGGCCUCCAGACGAUAUGGAUAACCCUGGUAAUUCUGAGGCUAAUACAUGACCGCAAAACCGGGCAGCCCAGCAAUGGAUGCUCGGGGAUGUGCGAUAUGGCUUGACAAUAACCGGGAAAGGACGCACACUCAGACCGCGCUAAAAAGGAUCGGGACUCUCUUCGGAGAACCUGGCCCCAGCGGCUCUUGCUGUGUGCUUCUGACCUAUCAACUAGACGGCAGCGUAAUGGACAUGCUAUGGU
rnacentral:rRNA from 1 species